UACGUAGGUGGCAAGCGAUACUCGGAAUCACUAGGCGUAAAGCGCAGGUAGGCGGUUUGGUAAGUCUUUUGUGAAAGCUCCCGGCUCAACUGGGAGAGGUCAAAGGAAACUACUAGGCUAGAGUGUGGUAGGGGAUACUGGAAUUCCUGGUGUAGCGGUGAAAUGCGUAGAUAUCAGGAGGAAUACCUAUGGCGAAAGCAGGUAUCUGGGCCAUCACUGACGCUGAGCUGCGAAAGCUAGGGGAGCAAACAGG
rnacentral:rRNA from 1 species